rnacentral:rRNA from 1 species
AGAGUUUGAUCAUGGCUCAGAGUGAACGCUGGCGGCGUGCUUAACACAUGCAAGUCGAACGAGAACGGAUUAUAGCUUGCUAUAAUUGUCAGCUAAGUGGCGCACGGGUGAGUAAUAUAUAGAUAACCUGCCCUCAAGAAAGGAAUAACAGUUGGAAACGACUGCUAAUGCCCUAUAUGCCUUUAAUACAUAAGUAUGCAAGGGAAACGCUUUAGUGCUUGAGGAUGGGUCUGUAUGGUAUCAGCUUGUUGGUGAGGUAAUGGCUCACCAAGGCUAUGACGCCUAACUGGUUUGAGAGGAUGAUCAGUCACACUGGAACUGAGACACGGUCCAGACUCCUACGGGAGGCAGCAGUGGGGAAUAUUGCACAAUGGACGAAAGUCUGAUGCAGCAACGCCGCGUGGAGGAUGACACAUUUCGGUGCGUAAACUCCUUUUAUAUAGGAAGAUAAUGACGGUACUAUAUGAAUAAGCACCGGCUAACUCCGUGCCAGCAGCCGCGGUAAUACGGAGGGUGCAAGCGUUACUCGGAAUCACUGGGCGUAAAGAGCGUGUAGGCGGGUAUAUAAGUCAGAAGUGAAAUCCAAUAGCUUAACUAUUGAACUGCUUUUGAAACUGUAUACCUAGAAUGUGGGAGAGGUAGAUGGAAUUUCUGGUGUAGGGGUAAAAUCCGUAGAGAUCAGAAGGAAUACCGAUUGCGAAGGCGAUCUACUGGAACAUUAUUGACGCUGAGACGCGAAAGCGUGGGGAGCAAACAGGAUUAGAUACCCUGGUAGUCCACGCCCUAAACGAUGCACACUAGUUGUUGUGAGGCUCGACCUUGCAGUA